rnacentral:lncRNA from 1 species
UGUAUCUUCAUGAACUCUGCCUUACGGAUCACAUCGGUGUUCAUUUUUACUUGCUUUUUAUCCACUUGACCAGUCUUAGACUAAGAAUAAUAUAUCAAAUCCUCCUCUGUGAAUUGUUUCUAUCUGUCUUUACAUCUCCUAUAGACUUUUCUUUAUGAAGAUGGUCGCUAUGCUCUUUGUGCAUCAUUUGUGCAUUGCACGGAGCUGGAUUUUUUCUUGUGGCCAAUUGGACAAUCUUCUUUGAGGAGGUGACAUAAUCCCAGUUCCAUUUGUUGGAAUGACUGACAUGCCUGACGGUAUCUUUGAAAUACGAAGGGUAUUUGAUGACGUCUUUACUGGUUUCUUUCUGUAUAUGGUGAGUUUUCUUUUUCAUUUAAAAUAUGCUUAUUUGAGUAUUUAGAACAGUCUGUGUUUUCAUUUGUGCCAAUAUCCUCUUUAAUGCCCACAGUCCCCUUUGCCUCACACAGGUCUCCACUCUCUGGUGGGUUGGUCAAAAGUGACGUCCUUUGGCUCCCACUUCCCACUGAGAUAACAGUCCACGAGUCUGUCUCGCUGUCGCGUUUUCUGUCUCUCGUCUCCUUUCAUUUGUAACACUUCUCUUUCUUUUCAGAACGUAUAACACUCACGUACUACCGUUUUACGCUCGUCUCGUUUUUCCUCUAGUUUUAGGUCUACAGUCGCAUGUGAUCAAUGCUCUCCACCGGUGCCCUGGCUGACGUCCCCGGUUAUUUCUCAGUUGACAGAUUCCUCCGAAGGACGGGUGAGCACUGCUUUUCCUAAGUUCUUGUUCAUCAUAACUAUGAUCCUGUGGACCUGACUGGAUGUAACACCCUCAGCUCACACGGCCCUCAUGGUGUGUCUCAAAGAUGAGCAUCUGCUCUUGCCUUGCUGUCAAGGCCUCCGAUGCCGCCUGAAUUAUUUUUACUUUUAAGAUCCUUGGUCCUCUUGCCUGGAGGUUCUGAGACGUUUUCUGUUUUGGUUUGUUUCAUCCUCAAUGUCUAAGAGAUGGACAAAGACAUACCUUGGAGUCAGCUGUGCAGGUCAGUUUUCUGGGGGCACAGUGGUCCUCUCCCUGGGCCUUGUAUUUCGGGAAGCUUUCUUUGGAACAGAGCUUAAAUGCUAAUUCUGUUGCCUUUAUUUCAUUGAUCAUCUUCCAGAACUCCAAUUAGACAUUUUUUGCAUUUCUUUUGCUCAUCUUUUAUGUCUAUCACAUUUUCUCUGAUCCUUUUUAUCUCUUUAUUUUCAUUCAUUUUCUUGUCAGUUUUCAAGACUUUGCUCAUUACCCCUUACUAUAUUUUCAACCAAAUGUGUUCUCUCUCUUGGGCACUUUGUGAUUUUUGUCUCUAUCUUUAGGAGUUUGUCUUUGCUUCAAUUUUAUUCCUGUGGUAAGUCCAUUCUCAUUUCACAUACUUCCAGGUUUUUAUCCAUUUCUGUUCUGAGUUUUGGAAAUUCUGACUCAGUGUGUUUUCUUGCCUCAUCAAAUACUUGUUUAAGAAUAAUUCACUCAGCAGGACUCUUGUAUCAUGGUUUUAUUCUGCCAUGUGUGUUUUGAUCUGGAGAGAACGCACUUUCAUGGCUGUUGUCCACUCUUUUCUAUUCAACUCUCCGUGUCUUACUUUACUGAUUUGGCACGCGUGGGGAUUGCACGAGGCAGGGAUGAAGGGAUUGGGGCCUCUUCGGGUUCUUAGUUCAAGAGCACCUGCUUCUCAAUGUGUAAUGAGGUACAUUCCCUUUACUCCAUGAUAUUUUUGGGGGGAGUGCAGGUGCAGGGUUUGCUGUAGCUCCUGGUUUUUAACAAAUUUCUAUCAUUUGUUUGUUUUCCUUCCACAACAAACCCCAUCCCCUCAUUUCUCCCUGCCUACAUGCCUCCUCCUGAGCCAGCCCUCUCUCUGGCACUUUUCUCCCACACGUUCCUAAGCUGCUUCCUUUGGCUUCUCCAGUGGCUGGUACUCUGUCCUCCAUUCCUCACCCCGUCCUGAGAAUCUUCCCACUCGGGUGGGGCUUCUCUUUCUGGGGUCCAUGACCACAGGCACAUGCUCCCCACUCCUCUUUCCGGGGCACAGUCUGCCGUGCUCCGAGCGGGCUCUGGGGUGGCUCCAGGACAUGAGCGUCUGUUCCCAUCCUCACUAUUUUGUGGGGUCCCUCGUGUUCUGCCCUGUCCUGCUGCAGGCAUGAGGCUGGGGAGCCCCUUGGCUGGAUGGGCUGAGCUCCGGAGGAUUUUGGAGUGUGUUCAUAGAGAAACAGGUUUAAGCAUCUGCUACUAUUGUUUUGGAACCAGCCAUCCCUUUCUCUUUUUAUGUAAAGUUUCUUUUCUAUACAGCUGUGUUCAUACUGCAUAUGAAAUUGUCUGUGUGACUUUACACUGUGCCAGGCCUUUUUUUCAUAUCACUGUACUCUGUAAAAUGUUUUCAAUGAAUUGACAUUAUUUUAUUCAGUGGAUUGAAUUAUUUAUUUGUGUAACUGUUCCUCUGUUACUAGACACUGAUAAAACUGCUGUGUUUUUCUUUAUUUAGACUGAUUUCCUUAAUUUAGAUUUCUAAUAGUUCAUUUAAUUGGGAAAGCAGUAUAAAAUGUUUUAAGUUUCUUUGCAUAGUUUUCAAAUCAUUUUUUAAACUCUCAUGUCAAUUUAAAUUCUCACCAUCUAUGUCGAAAACCUGUAUGGUCCAG